UACGUAGGGGGCAAGCGUUAUCCGGAUUUACUGGGUGUAAAGGGAGCGUAGACGGAUUAGCAAGUCUGAUGUGAAAGGCAGGGGCUCAACCCCUGGACUGCAUUGGAAACUGCCAGUCUUGAGUGCCGGAGAGGUAAGCGGAAUUCCUAGUGUAGCGGUGAAAUGCGUAGAUAUUAGGAGGAACACCAGUGGCGAAGGCGGCUUACUGGACGGAAACUGACGUUGAGGCUCGAAAGCGUGGGGAGCAAACAGG
rnacentral:rRNA from 1 species